AAAGGAAUAGACGGGGGCCCGCACAAGCGGAGGAACAUGUGGUUUAAUUCGAUGAUACGCGAGGAACCUUACCCGGGCUUGAAAUGCAGAAGACGGAUCGGGAAACCGAUUUUCCAGCAAUGGCUUCUGUGUAGGUGCUGCAUGGUUGUCGUCAGCUCGUGCCGUGAGGUGUCGGCUUAAGUGCCAUAACGAGCGCAACCCUUGCCAAUAGUUACUAUCAGGUAAUGCUGAGGACUCUAUUGGGACUGCCAUCGUAAGAUGCGAGGAAGGUGGGGAUGACGUCAAAUCAGCACGGCCCUUACGUCCGGGGCGACACACGUGUUACAAUGGGGAGUACAGAGGGUUGCUACCUGGUGACAGGAUGCUAAUCUCUUAAAUCUUCUCUCAGUUCGGAUCGAAGUCUGCAACUCGACUUCGUGAAGCUGGAUUCGCUAGUAAUCGCGCAUCAGCCAUGGCGCGGUGAAUACGUUCCCGGGCCUUGUACACACCGCCCGU
rnacentral:rRNA from 1 species